AAGCAGAUACGAUACAUUAUAAAGGCACAACGAAAGUUUUAUAAGUGACGCAUGUGCAUAUAUGAUUAUUUCUCUGUGAGAAAAAUAGAGUGGCAUAGGAAAUAUACUCUUUUGAUCUUUUUUCUGUAGAUUCUUCUAUAUUUAAGGAGAAUAUAAUUUUCUAAAUUUCUUAGAAAUUUCGAUCCUAUGUCCGACUAAUUAUAAUACAAUGAAAUAAAAGCACUUUCUCUAUGAA